CAGUAGCCGCGGGAAUACGUAGGUGGCAAGCGUUGUCCGGAAUUAUUGGGCGUAAAGGGCUCGCAGGCGGUUUCUUAAGUCUGAUGUGAAAGCCCCCGGCCCAACCGGGGAGGGUCAUUGGAAACUGGGAAACUUGAGUGCAGAAGAGGAGAGUGGAAUUCCACGUGUAGCGGUGAAAUGCGUAGAGAUGUGGAGGAACACCAGUGGCGAAGGCGACUCUCUGGUCUGUAACUGACGCUGAGGAGCGAAAGCGUGGGGAGCGAACAGGAUUAGAUACCCCUGUAGUCCCUGUCUCUUAUAC
rnacentral:rRNA from 1 species